GCAGCUCAAUGGUAGAGCAUCUGCUUUGCAUGCAGAAGUUCCCAGGCUUAAUUCCUGGCAUCUCCA